GACGAACGCUGGCGGCGUGCUUAACACAUGCAAGUCGAACGGAAAGGCCCUGCUUUUGUGGGGUGCUCGAGUGGCGAACGGGUGAGUAACACGUGAGUAACCUGCCCUUGACUUUGGGAUAACUUCAGGAAACUGGGGCUAAUGCCGGAUAGGAGCUCCUGCUGCAUGGUGGGGGUUGGAAAGUUUCGGCGGUUGGGGAUGGACUCGCGGCUUAUCAGCUUGUUGGUGGGGUAGUGGCUUACCAAGGCUUUGACGGGUAGCCGGCCUGAGAGGGUGACCGGCCACAUUGGGACUGGGAUACGGCCCCGACUCCUACGGGAGGCAGCAGUGGGGAAUAUUGCACAAUGGGCGGAAGCCUGAUGCAGCAACGCCGCGUGCGGGAUGACGGCCUUCGGGUUGUAAACCGCUUUCGCCUGUGACGAAGCGUGAGUGACGGUAAUGGGUAAAGAAGCACCGGCUAACUACGUG
rnacentral:rRNA from 1 species